GACAGAGGAUGCAAGCGUUAUCCGGAUUUAUUGGGUUUAAAGGGUGCGUAGGCGGCCUAUUAAGUCAGGGGUGAAAGACGGUAGCUUAACUAUCGCAGUGCCCUUGAUACUGAUGGGCUUGAAUAUACUAGAGGUAGGCGGAAUGUGACAAGUAGCGGUGAAAUGCAUAGAUAUGUCACAGAACACCAAUUGCGAAGGCAGCUUACUAUGGUAUUAUUGACGCUGAGGCACGAAAGCGUGGGGAUCAAACAGG
rnacentral:rRNA from 1 species